AAAAACAACGGUACAUUACGACCGAAAAACUACGCUUCUGGUUCAUCUACUAUUCCCUACUUUACCGUCGUCUGCACAUACAUGCUCGCAGGAGAGUCGAAAGAUUAAGUUCGGUAAAGUUUUCUGCGAACUUCAUCCACCCCGAAUAAAGCUUUCAUACUUUGUGCGAUUCGAAAUACGAUACAAAAAAAAAAAUUCCAAAACAAUUCCAAACCCGCGACAAGAUACCUUCUGAAUUAUACUUAACGUAGUUGAAACUAUGAUUAUUUGCGCUGCAGACCAGAAACAACAUUGGAAUCGUCGAAACGAAUACAGCUGCACCUGCAGUGCGGCAGGAUAAUGAUAUACGUAUAAAAGUAGUGGAAUCCGUAAAAAGAAAGAACAGGUAUUUAAUGAUCAAUUAUAACUGUUAUUG